CUCUGCCUCUCCCUCCCGCUACGGCUGCAGUAUGAACUAUCCGCAAGAACCAGCUCCCACCUCUACCCCACCCACCUAACCCCCCCCCUCCCCCUUCGUUUCCCUCCUUCAGGACUUGCCCCCGGUUGUGCUUUGGAGUCGUCAUCUGUUGUUGUGAGAUGUUGUGUUAAGUCCGCAACCACUGCAACCCUUAUUCCUAGUUUCUUCCCCAAGAGGACUCCAGUGAGUUGCUGUUGACAAAACGGAGGAAGGUGGGGAUGACGUCAAAUCAUCAUGCCCUUUAUGACCUGGGCUACACACGUACUACAAUGGCUAUUAACAGAGAGAAGCGAGACCGCAAGGUGGAGCAAACCUCAGAAAAAUAGUCUCAGUCCGGAUUGGGGGCUGCAACCCGCCCCCAUGAAGCCGGAAUUGCUAGUAAUCGCGGAUCAGCAUGCCGCGGUGAAUACGUUCCCGGGCCUUGUACACACCGCCCGUCACACCAUGAGAGCCGGGGGGACCCGAAGUCGGUAGUCUAACCGCAAGGAGGACGCCGCCGAAGGUAAAACUGGUGAUUGGGGUGAAGUCGUAACAAGGUAACCGUAAAGGGCGAAUUCGGAGCCUGCUUUUGUACAAAGUGNAGU
rnacentral:rRNA from 1 species